AUGCACCAGAUACGGACCCGACUGUGAGUUCCGUGACUGUUGGGUUUUAAAAAAGGUGCUACAGAAACCUCAGCCCUGAUAUUUAAGCUCAUGAGUGUGAAGGUGCACUCCUGAGUUAUGGCUCAGAGGCACAGUG